GGUGCUUUAGUAUAAAAGGUUAAUGCCCUCUGCUCAUAACAGAGAAGAUACAGGUUCGAUUCCUGUAGGCACCA
rfam:Carnobacterium maltaromaticum LMA28 complete genome